rnacentral:rRNA from 1 species
GACGUAGGGCGCGAGCGUUUGUCCGGAUUUAUUGGGCGUAAAGAGCUCGUAGGUGGUUUGUCGCGUUGUUCGUGAAAACUCACAGCUCAACUGUGGGCGUGCGGGCGAUACGGGCAGACUGGAGUACUGCAGGGGAGACUGGAAGUUCCUGGUGUAGCGGUGGAAGUGCGCAGAGUAUCAGGAGGAACACCGGUGGCGAAGGCGGGUCUCUGGGGCAGUAACUGACGCUGGAGGAGCGAAAGCGUGGGGAGCGAACAGG